UUUGUUUAUGUUUAUUUCUAUUUUUAGUUGUUUUGUUUUAUUUUUAUUUCCUUUUACUUCUUUUAAUUACUAUCUUUUGAACUAUAUUUUUUUGGUUGUUUCUAAUCGAGUUAUAACCCCUUAAUCUUCUUUCUUAUUUGUGUUCAUUUUCUUAUUAGUUUACUCGGAAUCAUGCACUAUAUUUAGAUUUGCCUACAUUUCACUUUUCACCAUUUUUGAAAAUUUAUCUAAUAUUCAGGGCGAUUUUAGUUUUCUCCCUCUCUUAUGAUAUUCUAUUUAUA
rnacentral:lncRNA from 1 species